AGCAAAAUGAUGAAGUCUUUUGUAUGUCUGAAAUUGAUGUGGAUCUCGUAUUUCAUACAGGUCUUCAAAGUUCUCUGAUUGCU